rnacentral:lncRNA from 1 species
CGGAAGCAGCAGCUCACUUGCCGGGGACGAAGUUGGUGGCGUAGGCCCAAGCGUUGUUGUUGACGGGGUCGGCGAGGUGGUCGGCCAGGUUCUCCAGCGGGCCCUUGCCGGUCACGAUGGCCUGAACGAAGAAUCCGAACAUGGAGAACAUGGCCAGGCGGCCGUUCUUGAUCUCCUUCACCUUCAGCUCCGCGAAGGCUUCGGGGUCGUCGGCCAGGCCGAGGGGGUCGAAGCUGCCGCCCGGGUAGAGCGGGUCGGUCACCUCGCCGAGCGGCCCGCCGGCGAUGCGGUAGCCCUCCACGGCGCCCAUCAGGAUCACCUGGCACGCCCAGAUGGCCAGAAUGCUCUGAGCGUGGAUCAAGCUGGGAUUGCCCAGGUAGUCCAGUCCGCCCUCGCUAAAGAUCUGAGCGCCGGCCUUGAACCACACCGCCUCCCCGAACUUGACCCCGUUGCGGGCCAGCAACUCCGGGAAGACGCAGCCCAGGGCGCCGAGCAUAGCCCACCGGCAGUGGAUGACCUCCAGCUCCCGGUUCUUGGCGAAGGUCUCGGGGUCGGCCGACAGCCCAGCCGUGUCCCACCCGUAGUCGCCCGGGAACUCGCCGGUGAGGUAGGACGGGGGCUCGCCGGAGAACGGGCCGAGGUACUUGACGCGGUCGGGGCCGUACCACGGACUACCGGAUGCAACGGGCUUCGGCUUGGCGCCCGUCUUCCGCAUGGUGACCCUGCCUCCGCCGAGGACGUCGGAGGCCGAGGGGGCGAGCUUGACGGCCUGGCCGGCGAAGGAUGGGGAGGAGAGGGCCAUGGUGGAAGCCAUUGGAGAAUGACUCGCUGCAAGGAGGAAAGAGUAGGAGAUGGAUUCGAUGAGAGAGUAGAGCGAGG